rnacentral:rRNA from 1 species
GAUGAACGCUGGCGGCGUGCCUAACACAUGCAAGUCGAGCGAAGCGGGGACGGGUGAGUAACACGUGGAUAACCUCCUAUCAAACUGGGAUAACUCCGGGAAACCGGUCCUAUCCCCGAUAAUUAUAGAUGGAUCCGCGCUGCAUUAGCUAGUUGGUAAGGUAACGGCUUACCAAGGCAACGAUGCAUAGCCGACCUGAGAGGAUGAUCAGCCACACUGGAACUGAGACACGGUCCAGACUCCUACGGGAGGCAGCAGUGGGGAAUAUUCCACAAUGGGCGAAAGCCUGACGGAGCAACGCCGCGUGAGUGAUGAAGGUCUUCGGGUCGUAAAGCACUUUUAUUGGGGAGGCGUUACCUACACAGGAAGCACCGGCUAACUCCGUGCCAGCAGCCGCGGUAAUAC